rnacentral:misc_RNA from 1 species
GUUGGUGAACCAGCGGAGGGAUCAUUACAGAGUUUUUAACUCCCACACCCAUGUGAACUUACCAUUGUUGCCUCGGCAGAACCUACCCGGUACCUACCCUGUAACGACCUACCCUGUAGCGAGUUACCCGGGAACGGCUAUCGUGUAACGUUUCGCCGAUGGACAUCUAAACUAUUGUUAUUUUACAGUAAUCUGAGCGUCUUAUUUUAAUAAGUCAAAACUUUCAACAACGGAUCUCUUGGUUCUGGCA